CUGGCUGUAGGGAGAAGCAGACAGACAGAGAGGAGGGAGAGACAGACUUCAUCACUGACUCCAGAUCUGAGGAGAAACUCAUCUGAAGAACCUCUCACACCAAUGUAAAGAGGUGACUGUGAUCUCCUCAGACCAAUUGGCAGAACAGCCCAGUUCUGGCAUCACAAACAGGAUGAUUGAUUCUGCACAUCCUAUGGGAAGGCGUGAGGGAAUUUCUCAUCUGAUGAAAAGACGACUGGGACCCGCCCAGACCAUAGGAGACAUAUCAUAAGUGAACAAUAGAGGGACAUAUCUACUGACUUUUCAAACAGGUUGUCCCUGGAAGGAACGGAGGAAGACAUUGUAGAUAAUUUAGUCCCCCUUAACAGUGUUCUUAAGACUCGUUUCCCACGGGUGAAGGCGUCUUUGCCGAACCUAGCAGGUG